GUGCUAUGAUGAUGCUUUCAGUGGUUGACAGUGUUCGUGGAAUACUGUAUGAAACGUCGACAACAAUGUCGAUCCUGAGCGGUUACCUGAGCAC